rnacentral:lncRNA from 1 species
CACAGCUAGUGCUGGAGACCUGCUCGGUAACCCGUGUGUGUCAACAGAACCAUCCAACCGAAGAGCUGGUCAUGCAGUAACGAACAUCCUGGCCAAAGAGUUGAUGAAGGAGGACACCCCGCCCUCCUUCAGCAAACCGCUCAAUAAGAAGACCAAGGCAGAACAGAAGGAGGAGCCUAGCAUAGAGGGGGCGGGGUCACUAGAUGAUCUCUUAGAGGAAAGCCUAUCACGGUCCAGUUAAAAAAAACGGGUAGAAGUUACCCCUUAGCCACAGAUCUUGGAUCAGCCUACCAUACCCAUAUCCUAACCUUAACCAUGGGGGCAGGGAUACAGAAACUGAUCUUAGAUCAGUGUCUAGCAGCAACUUCCUCCUACUCUCCUUCGUAGGACCACGGGAUUGGACAGACUGGGUCUGAAGGGGCCAAUGGAUGAGUGCGGGGCUCUCACCUUAACCACACUCCCAGGGUUUCGCAGGCUGGCUUGCUAUUAGUCGCUUCCACGCUGAGGGAGGACUCUUGCUCUGCCGUAUAAACGUACAGUAUCAAUGGUCAAGCGUCAGCAUCUGCACACAUCCACUGCACUCUGUCUAUCGCUCAUUCAGUCUCUUUCUCUAUCAAUUUCUCUCACACACACUGUCACUAUCUAUCCAUCUACUUUCCUCUCUCUCUGAAGUACGUCUUGAGACAGUCCCACAGACACUUUAUCAGAAGGGAUCCUAUUUUUUAUCAUUUUUUUCUCCAGAGGGAUAGGAUGGAUUUCCCAAUCUGGAUGGUUGGACUGUCCUACCUAUGUGGAAGCCCUGAUGUUUUAUAGAACAUGUUUAGCUUUUUCCCAGGUUUGGUUUCAAACCUGUUAAAUGUUGCUCUGUAAUUGUCAAAUAUGCUGUAUGUUUAUAAAAGAAACAAGUGCCAACCAAUACAACUUGAAGUUGCACAUGUCAGCCCUCGUGUUGUCCAAUAGGAGUUUGUGUUGGGUUAGGGUGGACCAAGGGAUAGGUCUAAGUGUGUGUGUGCGCACGUGUUCCACAGUCCUCAUCUCAUUUCCCCGGUUCUUUAUGUUCUCUCUGAUUCACAGGGAGGAGUCACUAUGUCGGUGAUAAACAGACUAUAGGGCCUUAUUGGCCAUUCUCAAAGGACGUCUCCACAAGCAGGAAAUUGUGUGUGUGUCCAGAGCUACGUGUGUGUGUGUGUGUGUGUGGUUGUUUGUGCAUUCAUGUUGUGUGCGUGCGUGUGCGAGUUUGUGCUUGGGUAUGCUCUGCCAUCUGUAAUUACUGUAUGGUCCUGCCUCUGCCUGCCUGUCUGCCGUCAUCAUAAAUGCUAUAUUUCCUAAACAGCGCUGUGGUCUUUCUGCUGAAGUUACAGCACACUGGAGACCUGCCCCCCAAAAAAUGCUGAGACGAGUGUGUGUCCCCGAGUGUGUGUCGCCGUGCGUGUGUGUGUGCGCGCUUGCCCCUUUAGACUGCAACACCCGUUGCUGAAUGUCUGGCCUUUCCGGUUUUGUAUUUGUAUUCAACAUCAGCAAAUGUUGCCGCCACAACGUUCGUGUAAUCCAAGGAGAAUGAUAAGCAGUUCUGCCAGUUAACCCAUGCUUUACCAAUCCCUAUGCAAACAUGACAUAUCCCUACUGCUGAUCUCAAGUCAGUCACAAACGGUUAGAGCAUCUGCUUGAACAACUGUGGUUUCCCGUAAGCGCUGAUCAGAGAUCGGUUUGUACAGGUCUCUGGAAUCGAGCCAAGCACAAGCUUGUUGGGCUUUUACCAGCACAACAUAUUGUUAUUAUCAAAGAGCUGAGAGAUCGUUUCAUGAUAAUAAUCAUUGCUUCCUGCAGUAUAUUUCAAAGGUAUAAAAAUGACAAAUGUUACCGCAACGUCUGUGUGACUUAGCAACUUCAGUCAAGGGGCGACGAGGAAACAUUCAGCCCUUAGAUUGUAGUUGUUUGCCAGAAACAGAAGUAUGACGUGUCGACCGUAAGACAACGUUCCUUGUGUGGAUGAGUCAUUUCAGGUGAUCCUGUCCCUAUUAUUUAAGUGGUCUUUUAAAGGACGUUGAGGAAAGGUUGAAAAAACAUCACUGGAAAAUAAUCCAAUUUUCUGGCCUGAUUUUAUAAUUUUCUAGAUUUUUUCAUUUUUUCAUUUUUUUUCUUUUUAUAAGAGCUUGUUUUCUAUGUGAAUUUUUACUCUUGUUUUAAUGGACGUUAAAAGUAGAGGUUCAAGUUGAUUUCCGGAGAUAUCACUGUGGUAAUAUGUAUUAGAUUAUGUAAUUCGUUUGUGCUGUCCGCUACCAUUAAAAU